UGGCGGGUUUUGUGUGUCUUUGGACAGAGCCAGGCUGGCUGUUUCCCCCAGUUUCCAGUUUUUGUGCUAAGCUAGGCUAAUCAGCUGCUAGCUGUAGCCUUAUAUU